rnacentral:misc_RNA from 1 species
GAUGAAGAACGUAGCGAAAUGCGAUACGUAAUGUGAAUUGCAGAAUUCAGUGAAUCAUCGAGUCUUUGAACGCACAUUGCGCCCCCUGGCAUUCCGGGGGGCAUGCCUGUCCGAGCGUCAUUUCUGCCCUCAAGCACGGCUUGUGUGUUGGGUGUGGUCCCCCCGGGGACCUGCCCGAAAGGCAGCGGCGACGUCCGUCUGGUCCUCGAGCGUAUGGGGCUCUGUCACUCGCUCGGGAAGGACCUGCGGGGGUUGGUCACCACUAUAUUUUACCACGGUUGACCUCGGAUCAGGUAGGAGUUACCCGCUGAACUUAAGCAUAUCAAUAAGCGGAGGA